rnacentral:rRNA from 1 species
UACGAAGGGGGCUAGCGUUGUUCGGAAUCACUGGGCGUAAAGCGCACGUAGGCGGAUCUUUAAGUCAGAGGUGAAAUCCCAAGGCUCAACCUUGGAACUGCCUUUGAUACUGGGGAUCUUGAGUCCGGGAGAGGUGAGUGGAACUGCGAGUGUAGAGGUGAAAUUCGUAGAUAUUCGCAAGAACACCAGUGGCGAAGGCGGCUCACUGGCCCGGUACUGACGCUGAGGUGCGAAAGCCAGGGGAGCAAACGGG